AAAGCGCGCGUAGGUGGUUCGUUAAGUUGGAUGUGAAAUCCCCGGGCUCAACCUGGGAACUGCAUCCAAAACUGGCGAGCUAGAGUAUGGUAGAGGGUGGUGGAAUUUCCUGUGUAGCGGUGAAAUGCGUAGAUAUAGGAAGGAACACCAGUGGCGAAGGCGACCACCUGGACUGAUACUGACACUGAGGUGCGAAAGCGUGGGGAGCAAACAGGAUUAGAUACCCCGGU
rnacentral:rRNA from 1 species